GCUGGGUGCGGUGGCGCACACACCUGUAAUCCCAGCACUUGGGAGGCUGAGGCGGGAGGGUUGCAAAUUCAAGGCCAGCCUCAAAACUUAGCAAGAUCCUGUCUCAA
rnacentral:sRNA from 1 species